rnacentral:rRNA from 1 species
GAUGAACGCUGGCGGCGUGCCUAAUACAUGCAAGUCGAGCGAACGGACGAGAAGCUUGCUCCUCUGACGUUAGCGGCGGACGGGUGAGUAACACGUGGAUAACCUACCUAUAAGACUGGGAUAACUUCGGGAAACCGUAGCUAAUACCGGAUAAUAUAUUGAACCGCAUGGUUCAAUAGUGAAAGACGGUUUUGCUGUCACUUAUAGAUGGAUCCGCGCUGCAUUAGCUAGUUGGUAAGGUAACGGCUUACCAAGGCAACGAUGCGUAGCCGACCUGAGAGGGUGAUCGGCCACACUGGAACUGAGACACGGUCCAGACUCCUACGGGAGGCAGCAGUAGGGAAUCUUCCGCAAAGGGCGAAAGCCUGACGGAGCAACGCCGCGUGAGUGAUGAAGGUCUUCGGAUCGUAAAACUCUGUUAUUAGGGAAGAACAAAUGUGUAAGUAACUAUGCACGUCUUGACGGUACCUAAUCAGAAAGCCACGGCUAACUACGUG